rnacentral:rRNA from 1 species
AUUGAACGCUGGCGGCAGGCCUAACACAUGCAAGUCGAACGAGUGGCGGACGGGUGAGUAAUGUCUGGGAAACUGCCCGAUGGAGGGGGAUAACUACUGGAAAGGUAGCUAAUACCGCAUACUGAUGGAUGAACCCGCGGUGCAUUAGCUAGUUGGUGGGGUAACGGCUCACCAAGGCGACGAUCCGUAGCUGGUUUGAGAGGACGACCAGCCACACUGGGACUGAGACACGGCCCAGACUCCUACGGGAGGCAGCAGUGGGGAAUUUUGGACAAUGGGGGAAACCCUGAUCCAGCCAUCCCGCGUGUGCGAUGAAGGCCUUCGGGUUGUAAAGCACUUUUGGCAGGAAAGCGGUACCUGCAGAAUAAGCACCGGCUAACUACGUGCCAGCAGCCGCGGUAAUAC